rnacentral:tRNA from 1 species
GUGAGUGUAGCUCAGUAUGGUAGAGCGACAGGUUGUGGCCCUGUUGGCCGCGGGUUCAAGUCCCGUCACUCACC